CGAGUCCCAAGCAACCAGGGCAAGCGCUCCUCCUCCCAAACCCACACCACACCGAAGCCGAUGCCGGCAGUAAAGUCGAGCGGCGGGAGCAGCCGCCGCGGACGGGGGAACCGCUACGCCCUGUUACGACCGCCGCAUCACCGCCUUCUCCGCCGAGGGCCGCAUCUACCAAAUCGGUGAGUGCGUACGGAACCCACGCCCCCAAAACCCAGACCUCUGCGCGGCCGGCUGCGGUCUCUGAUGGCCCGUCCGCGUCGUCGUCGCGAUUACGCGUGGAACGCCGUGAGGCUGGCGGGGGUCACCUCCGUGGGCGUGCGCGGGGCCGGCCAGCGGAAGGCACCGAAGGCGAAGGACAAGUUGCUGGAUGCGGCGAGCGUCUCGCGCAUGUUCCCGAUCACCGAGCGGCUGGGGUUGCUCACCACAGGGAUCGCAGGUGACCAGCGCUCGUUUAAUUUGUUAUUACUGUUCCAACGAUUCGCAGAAUGUAUGCGGUGCACGCGAAUUGAUUCAUUUCAACUGCUGCAUCGCAAUUGGGUUGCAAGGAUAAUUACGACUUCGCGGGUGAUAUUACUCGGGAUUCACUGUGUAAUGCAGCGUGCACCGUGGCUCUAAUGUUAAUUUGUUUAGUUGUUUUUACCAUUGGUAUCAAUAUACCAUGAAGGGGUUUCAGUGUAGUAUGGUACAUUUGCUGAUGCUCAGUUCAGAUUGGAAGGUUUUAAUGGAUCUCCUUAUAUUUUUA